ensembl:snoRNA
UGGAUGUGAUGAACUGUCUUAGCCUGAGCUUAUAGUGUGAAGAUAAAAAAAAAUGAUUUAAUGUAUUC